ACGCGUUAGACGAACGGUCUGGAAAGUCCGACGAUACAGGGUGAUAGUCCCGUAGUUGACGACGUGUGUUCAGUGAAAUCGAGUAGGGCGGGACACGUGAUAUCCUGUCUGAAUAUGGGGGGACCAUCCUCCAAGGCUAAAUACUACUGACUGACCGAUAGUGAACCAGUACCGUGAGGGAAAGGCGAAAAGAACCCCUGUGAGGGGAGUGAAAUAGAACCUGAAACCGUGUACGUACAAGCAGUAGGAGCAGGCUUUGUCCUGUGACUGCGUACCUUUUGUAUAAUGGGUCAGCGACUUAUAUUCAGUGGCAAGGUUAACCAUCUAGGGGAGCCGUAGGGAAACCGAGUCUUAACUGGGCGUUCAGUCUCU
rnacentral:rRNA from 1 species